rnacentral:rRNA from 1 species
GUACUUACUCCUACGGGAGGCAGCAGUAGGGAAUCUUCGGCAAUGGACGAAAGUCUGACCGAGCAACGCCGCGUGAGUGAAGAAGGUUUUCGGAUCGUAAAACUCUGUUGUUAGAGAAGAACAAGGAUGAGAGUAACUGUUCAUCCCUUGACGGUAUCUAACCAGAAAGCCACGGCUAACUACGUGCCAGCAGCCGCGGUAAUACGUAGGUGACAAGCGUUGUCCGGAUUUAUUGGGCGUAGAGCGAGCGCAGGCGGUUUCUUAAGUCUGAUGUGAAAGCCCCCGGCUCAACCGGGGAGGGUCAUUGGAAACUGGGAGACUUGAGUGCAGAAGAGGAGAGUGGAAUUCCAUGUGUAGCGGUGAAAUGCGUAGAUAUAUGGAGGAACACCAGUGGCGAAGGCGGCUCUCUGGUCUGUAACUGACGCUGAGGCUCGAAAGCGUGGGGAGCAAACAGGAUUAGAUACCCCAGUAGUCCAGGCAU